GCAUUCGAUAGGGUACAGAAGUGACAUCGGCUCCUGGAACUUCAGCUGAAGAGGAUCCACCAGAAGAUGUUGGUGCGUGUAAGGGACAGCUUCAGGUAACAAGCCCUGCCCUCUGGCCACUGGACCCCUAGCAGCAUUGUCACCUUUGGGGACCUUUGCAAAUUCCGCAAAGUCCCCAGACAGUGACAGUGCCACUUUAUGGUGC